GUCGCGCGUAGCCCUUUAAGCUAUGGACGGGGAUAACCUCGGGAAACUGAGACCCUACCCGAUAGAUCAUCAUGCCUGGAAUGGCCGAUGGUUGAAAUGAUUUAUCGCCAUAGGAUGGGACUGCGAUCUAUCAGCUUGUUGGUGAGGUAAUGGCCCACCAAGGCUAUAACAGAUACGGGCUCUGAGAGGACAAGCCCGGAGAUGGGUACUGACACACCGACCCCCGCCCUAUGGGGCGCAGCAAGAAAAAAAACUUUGCAAUGUGCGAAAGCACGACAAGGUUAAUCCGAGUGGUUCCUGCUAAAGGAACCUUUUGCCGGUCCUAAAAACACCGGUGAAUAAGGGGUGGGCAAGUUCUGGUGUCACCCGCCGCGGUAAAACCACCACCUCGAGUGGUCAGGAGGAUUAUUGGGCCUAAAGCAUCCGUAGCCGGCUGUGUAAGUUUUCAGUUAAAUCCAUGCGCUCAACGUAUGGGCUGCCGGGAAUACUGCACAGCUAGGGAGUGAGAGAGGUAGACUGUACUCGGUAGGGAGGGAUAAA
rnacentral:rRNA from 1 species